UUAUAUUGCUAACAAAAGCUUAAUGAGCUUAGUGAAGUUGUAGUAGUUGGAGACUUGUUUUAGAAGUUUAUGAAAAUUGAAUAUGAUGUUCUUGCAUGUAUGGCAUAUAAUGUUGUUAGUAUGAUGUUGUUAGUGCGUAAAUUAUUAGGUUGUUAUUGUUCUUAUUGGAGUUGGAAGGUCUUGGAGGAAGUAGUAUAUUGAUUGAGUUGUUAAAAUGUAUCUUGGGUUGAUUAUUGGAAUUGUUAGUACGGUUGUUGGCAUUGUUGUUGAUAGUUUGGCCGGGUUGAAUUCCUGGAUUGUUGUUGAUUAAAAUUUGCCAAGUUGAAUUUUUGGGGAUGGUGUAUUUACAGGGGAAGUGCUGCCAGAAUUUCGGUAGACAAGUGUUACUUUAAGAUUCAACUUCCAAAUGCUCUAAUUAAUGUUUGGUAAAUGUGACCAAAUGUAGAUUUUGGAGAAUUUGGAACGUGAAAUUGGAGAAGCGUAGGAAGCGAAAAAGGUAUGUAAAGCUUUGCCUUUCUUUCUUUUGGCAUGUCUUAGACAUAAUAGGUUUGGAAACGAACCUCGGGGAUGAUCCUAUUCCUAGAAAUCCGAGUUUGAAUUUGACCCUUUUUCAUUCAAAAGAGAAUUGAAUUAAAUAUUGUAUCAAAUGUUGGAAAAUUGCCUAAACAUCUAGAACUUGCACAAAUAGGACCUGAUUACCUUAAAACUCUCACAAGUGACGUCAUGAAAUGUAACAUACGUAAAUUGUGUACGCCACCUCAUUUGGUCCGAGGUGGGCCCAUUGUUCCCGGACUCUUCUUUAUUGUUCCGUUUAUCAAACAAAAAGUGUUGUAACUAAUCUAAUGAGAAUAAUUCUAUGGUGACAACGAUAAGAAUGGUUUCACGUCUAAAAGUCUCAAGUUAUAGAUUCAAUAUGAAUAUGAGAAUAUUGAGUUAGAUCUUGAUUCAUAAUCCUAUUCCACAAUUAUGAUUCCAUUUUCUAAAGACUUCAAGAACAUAAGUUGACGCCUUAUAAGGUUCAUGAUCUUAUCACAUGUUUUCUCUUAAUACCAUCUUUCAUUUGUAGUCUCGCCUUAUAGUACUAGUUCCUCCAAGGUGGGACAAAGCGGCCAUGGUUAUUCCAUAAUGUAAUCGGAGGCUACCGACCUUACGUCACUCCGAUACGGACAUGACUUUCUUUGGGCUCUCAUGCAUGCGGUUUAUAUGUUAUAAGUAUAUGUAUAUGUAUAUGGGAGAAGAUAGGAAAAGGGCAGAGCGCUAUAGACGCUAUCCACCUGAUCAGUUGGCAUUGUAUGACAUGAUAUCGUCCCGGACGCGGGAUAUAUGGGCGAGCCGACGUAUUUCGGCGCUAUGAUAUGAUAUGAUAUGAUAUGAUAUGUUCUAUUUUCUACGCAUAUGAAAAGAAAUGUUUUCAAAGGAAAGCUAGCAUGCAUGGUAUCCGCCCUAAGGGGGCACUCCGAUGUACAGGUUACUCUUUUAUCUCAUGAUAUGCUCAGACAGAAGUACACCGUACCUGUAUGGUCGGGCAGUUUACAUGUAAAUAUUUAUAUGUUGUUUCAAAGGGAAAAUUAGCUUACAUGAUAUCUGCCUUAAGAGGCAAACAGAGGUACAGGUUAUUUUCUUACUCCAUACUGUUCUUUAUGUCUUUUACCAUGAUCUUAUGUUAUUACUCUUGCCUUACAUACUCAGUACAUUGUUCGUACUGACCCCUCUUCUUCGGGAGUUGCGUUUCAUGCCACGCAGGUACACCCAGAUGAGUUGAAGCUAUUAUAGAGACGUUCCAGCGAAGUUGGCGAGCUCCAUUUGGCCCUGGAUGUAGCCGAGUCAGCGUACUAUGCUAUGAUGUUUUGUUCGAAGUUAGAGACUUUGCAGACAGAGUCGUGGGUAUCGAGUCGAUCUUUGUAUAAUGAUAUAAGUGUUACACAGUUACAGAUUUUAUUUGAUUUGAAAGCAACAAAAGAAUAUUUCAGUAAGCUAUAUUAUGUAUACUUGAUUUAGAGGUUCAAAAAAAAAAAAAUUAAGCACGUAAUAA